CACGUGCAGUGUGAUUCUGAAAAUGUGCAGAUGUCAGGUUUCCCUGCGCGGAUCCUGAAUAUAUUAUAUUUUAGCACAAGCUCAACGCAUUCCGGCACCUCCGCGGCCUCUGUAUCGCUCGCGCGACGUCACUGCAGGCAGGCAAUGAAGCCAAACGGGCCGCCUCUUCAUCAGCCUGACACACACACACAGAAAAGAAGAACAAAGAUGAGAAAAGAUUCGGUUUUUCACUACAGUGACAAAAAAGGGAUAUGAGUCACAAAGCACUGUAGUGCAUACCAGUAUGAAAAGACAGGCAGCGUGUGCACACAGUGUGAAAAGUGAUCUUCUUCCUCCAUUAGAUGGUAACUAUAGCCCAGUAGAGGAGGUGGCCUUCUUCAGCUUCUUAUUUCCCCUCAGCGUGGAUUGAUUACCUCGACUGCUACCGUGAUGCCACAUCACUGGUAACAGCCCGAGUAUCUAUGUAAACUAAUCUGUGUCUUAAUAUUUCAUUAUUCCCCUGGGAAUUAUAGGCCAAGAAAAAAAAAACUGAGGAAAAGUAAUAAAAAUAGAAAGAUGAAGAUGCUUAGGCACGCCUAGGUUUAGAGAGUGCAACUAGGAA